rnacentral:tRNA from 1 species
GCCUGGGUGGCUCAGUUGGUUGAGCAUCCGACUUCGGCUCAGGUCAUGAUCUCACAGCUCGUGAGUUCGAGCCCCACGUCGGGCU